UUUGCAAAUAUCUUCUCCCAUCUGCCGGUUGCCUUUUAGUUUUGCUGAUUGUUUCCUUCGCUGUGCAGAAGCUUUUUAUUUUGAUGAGGUCCCAGUAGCUCCUUUUUGCUUUUAUUUCCCUUGCCUCUGGAGACAUGUUGAGUAAGAAGCUGCUGCGGCCAAGAUCAAAAAGGUUUUUGCCUGCUUUCUCCUGGAGGAUUUUGAUGGUUUCCAGUCUUACAUUUAGGUCUUUCAUCCAUUUUGAGUUUAUUUUUGUGUAUGGUGUAAGAAAGUGGUCCAGGUUCAUUUUUCUGCCUGUCGCUGUCCAGUUUUCCCAGCACCAUUUGCGGAGGAGACUAUCUUUAUUCCAUUGGAUAUUCUUUCCUGUUUUGUCAAAGAUUAGGUGGCCAUACAUUUGUGGGUCCAUUUCUGGGUUCUCUAUUCUGUUCCAUUGAUCUGAGUGUCUGUUCUUGUGCCAGUACCAUACUGUCUUGAUGAUUACAGCUUUGUAAUACAGCUUGAAGUCUGGGAUUGUGAUGCCUCCUGCUUUGGUUUUCUUUUUCAAGAUCGCUUUGGCUAUUUGGGGUCUUUUCUGUUUCCAUACACAUUUUAGGAUUAUUUGUUCUAGCUCUGUGAAGAAUGCUGGUGUUAUUAAGUUCCUUUUUAUUUUUAUUUAAAUAUUUAUUUAUUUUCGAGAGAGCGAGCAAGCCCAAGGCGGGGAGGGGCAGAGAGAGGGGGAGAGAGAGAAUCCCCAGCAGGUUUCGUACUGUCAGCACAGAGCCUGACACGGGGCUCGAACUCACAAACCCCAAGAUCGUGACCUAAGCCAAGGUCCAAUGCUUAACUAAGACACCCAGGUGCCCCAAGAAGUUUAUUUUUAAAAUCACUGAGCAUACACUUUGUGAUAAGCACUGGAUGAAACUAAUAUAAUGCUGUAUGUUAACCACACUAGAAUUUAAAAUAAAAUAAAGUAAAAUGAAACAAAGUAAAAUAAAAUAAAAAAUAACUGAGCAUAUGCCAGUGAUUAGGGUAUUUUGUGGGCUCUGCGAUACAGAGGUCAUUGUCUGGAACUGAGGAUGCACAGGCUCUGACACGAACCUGCCUGCACUGAGAUGCUACGUGACCCUGGGAAAACUGUGGCCCAUUUUUGGGUCUCAACUUCAUCCAAAAAUUGGAAGGGUGUGCAUGUGAGUUCUAUGAUUUUUGUAGAAACUAAGCAAAAUGUUCGAACUACAGCUAAUCCGUAUCCUCCCAGCCUUGGUUGGGGCUGGACGUGUUUUCCCGUGUCCUGUUGGUGGUCAUGUGAAGAUUUGGCUCCACUGCUAACCUUGGCCACAGAGACAGGUGUGUGGGCGUCUGGAGAGAACAUGGUGGGCAUUGGGAUCCUUCAGACGGGCUGGAGUUUUGUGUGACCUUGGGUUAGCUACUUAACCUCUGUUUGUUUCCUCACUGGUGAAGUGAGUGUGAUGGCAUCCACUCCACUGGGCAGGUGCAAAGCUCAGGUAGAUGCCAUGCUUUCCCUACAGCUGGGGAGGACCCUCAGCCGGGUGGGGAGGACUCUCAGCCGGGUGGGGAGGAUCCUAAGGAUGACAUCUGAUCAGUCUGACAGUUUGUUGAUCCAAACUAGACAAAGAGAGUAGAAGUGGCCGGGGCCCCUUGUAGGGCAGAGGCCGUGGCAUGAGGGUCUCCCCUUGCCAGCCCACGAGCCCUGGAAGGAGCAGAGGAGACGGAAAGGUAGAUGCUGGUGUCCUAGGGGCCUGCCUUCGCUCCCUGUGGGACGCUCCCAGGGCCUUUUGGACGUGCCAGUAACCGCAGGGCUGGAGACGCCUCCCUGAAUUCUGCUCGGGUGGGGGCCGCACUCUGCGGAGCAAACAGGACUCUGCGGGGGGACGGGGGUCCUGACACACGAGGGACAGCCAUGAAGACUGCUGACUGGGCGCUGCAGCACAGAGAAUUUUCUACGGGCCUAGGGUUCCCAGUGCUGCAAGUCAGGGGGCUCUGAACUUCUGGCCUUCUGUGUGGAGGCUGGUGCUUCUCCCAGCCUGUGUCAGAGAAUCCGAAUCUGCUUAUUUUUAAUGACGUUUUCCUAAUUAUAUUUUAUAUAGAUGCUCAUGCAAGAAAAAGAAAAAGAAAAGAAACACGUAGAAAAGCAAAAGUAAGAAAAUAAAAAUCACCCAUAAUUUCAUCCUCUGGAGACAGGAGUUGUGCACGCCCUUCAGAUUUAGGUGCCUCAUGACCAGAUAUAUUUUAUUAGUUAGACUCUUUGGUGGCCGGUGGCAGAAGCUGACUCCGGCUAUCUGUAUUAAUUAAAGCACACUUUGCUGGAUCGGGAAAAUUCCCAGACUGCCACAGCUUCACACAGUGCACAUUUAUUUUCUGCUGAGAGGCCCCACACAGCUGUUCCAGCAGGUGGAGGGUGUGGGGGCCGCCUGGUCUCACUCAGCCACCCAGACGCCCAGGCCGAAGGUGGUUCUGGGUCUCGGGUCCCCCGUCCACACGCAGCCACAGGCAGAGGAAGACAGCUGGUGCAGGAGGGGUCUCCGGGCGUGGCAUCCAGACCAUCCCUUUGCUCUCCGUUAGCCGAAUUCGGACCCAUGGCCACCUGCCAGGAGGCUGAGGCUCCAGCUUUGAGGGCCAGCGUCCCUCAAGGUGCCCUGGGAGCCAUGGAGCGGGAGGCAGUAAAGGGGCAUCCGUCUGUAGUCACGGAGACCGGCCACUGCAGCUGCCAAGAACCCUUCCCAGGCUCUGGGCCCCUCCCGCAGGGUUCAGCAUCUCAGACGAGAGCAUUGGUGGUCAAGCCCGAAUCCUACCACGUCCCUGGCCUUCCAGUAACCCCGGUGCAGGGGGGAAGGCUCUGCCCUCCGCCGGGGUCGCCCCACUCUCUCUCCAGGGAGAGACCACUUUCUGAAGGGCUACUGGGACAGGAGAUCAGUGCUGGACACUCAAAUAACCGUCUUUCAUAUUGUGCACUUCCCUGCUCUGUGUUGCUGGGCCUGGACCCUGUCCUUUGGCCGGUCCCACUCCCUGGGCCUCCCCCCACCAUCCCAGAGGCCACAGCCGCCCCAGGGUUUCUACAGGAUGGAGGGACGUCAAGGCCAAUCUGGUCAGCGGAACUGCCCAGAGGCCUCAUGGAAAGUAGCCACAUGGAGUCCAAGGUGGCUCAGCUUGGGCCACGUGUCACCAAAGUUUCCGUGUUACGCCCCCAUGUAAACAAGAAGACGUCCCCAGUCCUCCCGUUGCCACAACGGUGACCAGCCCACAGAAAGCAGCGGGAGGGGAAGGGAAGGAGGGCCACAAAGGCAGAAUUCACCUCUCGUUCCCAGUCUGGAGGGAAAUGCCGACUGAAGCCUUGAGCCGUGACUCCCUUCACGAGAUGUGACUCCAGUGGACAAAACCGGUGACAGCUGGUGUCGGGGAGGCCGCAGAGCCGCUGCAACUCCCGCACGCUCAUGGCGGGGCUGCGCGAUGGCCGCUGAACAAUUAUUCCGUGAGUGGCUGGUGUGAGCUCUUCUGUGACCCUGCGGCGCCCUCGCAGGCAUUUGCUGAUGAGCAGAGAAGCCCUGUGUUCACACGAAGAUUGCACGCGGCUUUGUUCUGACAGGCGGGAGCCGGGAACAACGGCACGUCCCUCAUCAGGAUCAGGGACGAACAAACUGCCGUCUGCUCGCACGACGGAACACCUCUCGUCAACGCAAAGGAACCACUGCCCCCCACAGAGCCACGGACAGACCUCAGAAACACGGUGAGCAAAAGCAGCCGGGCUGAAGGGACGCAUUCGCGGGGGUCCACCAGACGUGGGUUCAAGGCAGGCAGACCCUCCCCGUGGGGACGGAGCUCAGGAGGAGCAAACUUGUGGGCGAUGGAAAUGCUCUCCGUCUUGACGUGGGUGGUGGUCACCUGGGUACAUGUGCCAGGGGUCAUCGAGCCAUCCGCUUGUGCUGUGCCUUUGACCGCAUGUGAUUUAUACUCUAAUGAAGUACCGUGAAAAUCUGUGA